rnacentral:rRNA from 1 species
UACGGGGGGGGCAAGCGUUGUUCGGAAUUACUGGGCGUAAAGGGCUCGUAGGCGGCCAACUAAGUCAGACGUGAAAUCCCUCGGCUUAACCGGGGAACUGCGUCUGAUACUGGAUGGCUGGAGGUUGGGAGAGGGAUGCGGAAUUCCAGGUGUAGCGGUGAAAUGCGUAGAUAUCUGGAGGAACACCGGUGGCGAAGGCGGCAUCCUGGACCAAUUCUGACUCUGAGGAGCGAAAGCCAGGGGAGCAAACGGG